rnacentral:rRNA from 1 species
GAUGAACGCUAGCGGCAGGCCUAACACAUGCAAGUCGAGGGAUAAGCCUUCGUUCUAAGACCGGCGCACGGGUACGUAACUCGUAAACAAUCUGCCUUUUAUCCGGGGGAUAGCCCGAAACAAGUGGGAUUAAUACCCUAUGGUAUAAGAGCACGCCAUCGUGCACUUAUUAAAUCUACGGCGUUAAAAGCUGAGUAUGCGUGCUAUUAGCUAGGUGGAGAGGUAACGGCUCCCCAAGGCGACGAUAGAUAGGGGUUCUGAGAGGGAUGUCCCCCACACUGGUACUGGGAUACGGACCAGACUCCUACGGGAGGCAGCAGUGAGGAAUAUUGGAACAUGGUCGGAAGACUGAUCCAGCCAUGCCGCGUGCAGGAUGACGGCCUUAUGGGUUGUAAACUGCUUUUGUAAGGGAAGAAUAAGGAGUACGUGUACUUUGAUGACGGUACCUUACGAAUAAGCAUCGGCUAACUCCGUG